CAUCGUCAGGUGGAAUCUGAAGGAAGCCUAAGGCAAAUUCUUGGUUUGAGGGACACGAACUACAUAUAAGGCUUACUAGGGACGGACGAGUUUGCUAAACAAAACAAAGUCCAACACUACCCAAAUCCUUAGGAGUAAAUGUAG
rnacentral:ncRNA from 1 species